CUAGAAUUGGUUGGCUGAGAAGCUUGAACAGUAGAGUUCACUGUUGCCCUCAGGCUGGAGACAUUUAAAUUCGCACUGUUAUCUCUCAGGGGAGAGCCUUGACUUAGAGUUAACAGCUAUUUGGGUCCAAGUAGGGCAUUCUUUUAAGGCACUUCUGGCAUCUAAACCAGCUCUGCUUCUAUCUUGUUGAAUCUAGGUCACUAUGCAACAAGCAAUGCAAUAUUUAAAAGGGGAACAACCAGCAGAGACGUCAUUGAGUUUAAAGUACCCAAGUGAAAGCAGCAACUCCUUGCUGGCAAGCCCUGACAGCAAGACCAAUUUCUGCAUUUUGCGUUAGAGAGUUCUUGAAGAAAAAUGGGAAAUAAUCCUGAAAUCAUGGUCUGGAAUCCAGAGGAUGCACAAUAUGGUUAUUGGAGGAGAGGCCAGGAAGAGAAAAAUAGUAGUGAGGCAAAUACCAUUGGAAGACACCUGGGCACAGACAGUGGAAGAAGUGAAAAGAGAUGCUUAACAAAGAUAAAUGUGGUUUAUCCUGAGGAAAGGAAUUCUAAAUGGCAAGAAAACAAUGAGACAACACAGGUUCAUCAACAAAUACCUGGAGGCAGCAGUUAAGAGAUUCAACAUGACUUACUUAUGAUGGUGACAGACUCAGAAGUAAGUCAGUACACCCUCUGUAAUAGCCCUAUUCAACCACAGUUCCACCUGUUCAAAAGUAAACCCUAGGCUGGGACAACUCUGACUGCAUUCACUAAUUCCUGUCAUCAAUAAGACGGUCCCCCCUUUUUGAGAGGCACACAGCCAAAAUAAUUGGAGCAAAUCUGUAGUCACAACCAUAAAUUUUAUCACCUCUUUCUUCCCAACCCCACCCAUGAAUUACAUAUCAAUAGAAUAUCUGUAAUAAACAUUCAUAUAUGUCUAGAUCCUCAGCUAAUGUGAAUUUGAUUCAGUAAAGCUAUUCUGAAUGGUGAA